UCCACGCCGAGGGCGUCUACGUUGACACUA
rnacentral:sRNA from 1 species